UUUAAAUCCAGAGAAGAGUA
rnacentral:tRNA from 12 species